UACGGAGGGGCAAGCGUUGUUCGGAGUCACUGGGCGUAAAGGGCGCGUAGGCGGUGCGUUAAAGUCAGGCGUGAAAUCCCCCGGCUUAACCUGGGAACUGCGUCUGAUACUGGAAGGGCUUGAGGAUGGGAGAGGGAGUGUAGAAUUCCAGGUGUAGCGGUGAAAUGCGUAGAUAUCUGGAGGAACACCGGUGGCGAAGGCGGCAUCCUGGACCCAACACUGACACUGAGGAGCGGAAAGCCAGGGGAGCAAACGGGGAG
rnacentral:rRNA from 1 species